rnacentral:rRNA from 1 species
ACGGGUGAGUAACACGUAGGCAACCUGCCCUCAAGUUUGGGACAACUACCGGAAACGGUAGCUAAUACCGAAUAGUUGUUUUCUUCGCCUGAAGAGAACUGGAAAGACGGAGCAGUCUGUCACUUGGGGAUGGGCCUGCGGCGCAUUAUCUAGUUGGUGAGGUAACGGCUCACCAAGGCGACAAUGCGUAGCCGACCUGAGAGGGUGAUCGGCCACGCUGGGACUGAGACACGGCCCACACUCCUACGGGAGGCAGCAGUAGGGAAUCUUCCGCAAUGGGCGAAAGCCUGACGGAGCAAUGCCGCGUGAGUGAUGAAGGUUUUCGGAUCGAAAAGCUCUGUUGCCAGGGAAGAACGCUUGGGAGAGUAACUGCUCUCAUGGUGACGGUACCUGAUAAGAAAGCCCCGGCUAACUACGUGCCAUCAGCCGCGGUAAUACGUAAGGGGCAAGCGUUGUCCGGAAUUAUUGGGCGUAAAGCGCGCGCAGGCGGUCAUUUAAGUCUGGUGUUUAAUCCCGGGGCUCAACCCCGGAUCGCACUGGAAACUGGGUGACUUGAGUGCAAAAGAGGAGAGUGGAAUUC